UUGAAGACAGCCAGAAAAUUUUAACAAGACACAGAGGACUUUUUUCUUUCCGUGCCGCACAGUGGCAGGAUGGUGGUAAAGAUUUCUAAGAAGAGGAAGUUUGUCACCAGUGGCAUCUUCAAAGCUGAACUGCAUGAGUUUCUGACUUGGGGGCUAACUACUCUGGAGUGGACGUCCAAGUUACACUAACCAGGACUGAAAUCAUUAACUUAGCCACCAGGAUGCAGCAUGUUCUUGCUGAGGAGGGCUGGCUAAUCCAGGAAUUGACCGCUGUGGUUCAGAAGAGGUUUGACUUCCCUGAGGGCAAUGUGGAGCUUUAUGCUGAAAAGGUGGCCACAAGAGGUCUUUGUGCUAUUAUCCAGGCAGAGUCUCUGUUACAAACUCCUAGGAAGCCUUGCUGUGUAGAGGGCCUGCCGUGGUGUGGUGUGCUGUGGUCCAUCAUGGAGAGUGGGGCAAAGGCUGUGAGGUCAUGGUUGUCUGGGAAACUCUAAGGACAGAGGGUUAAAUCCAUGAAGCUUGUGGAUGGCCUGAUGAUUCACAGUGGGGACCCUGUUAACUAUUAUGUUGACACUACUGUGUACCAUAUGCUGCUCAGACGGGGUGUGCUGAGCAUCAAAAUGAAGAUCAUGCUUCCCCGGGAUCCAAGUGGUAAGACUGGCCCUAAGAAGCCCCCACCUGACCAUGUGAGCAUUGUGGAACCCAAAGAUGAGAUAUUGUCCACCACCCCCAUCUUGGAACAGAAGAGUGGGAAGCCACAGCCAGACCCACAGUCUCCUUGGCAGCUGGAUCUGGAGUCUGGCUAUUACUCUGUGAAGACCCUUAAUAAAAUCUUUGAAAAAGACACAUGGCCUGAACAGACUGUACAUUCACUAUUUGAACUGAGGAUUCUGUUGCCCAAAGGGAACAUGACUUCAUUUAUUCUUACGGCUGCCUGGCUCAUGAUACUCCUAUGUUUUCCCUGAAAUCCUUGGUUUCAACUGUGAUUGUGAGGCAAGAGCCAGAAUAGGAGGACCUACGCAAAUUUAACCAGAGGGAUAUCCUGUGGGGAGGUAACUGUGGCAAUGGUGAAGGCUGAUUGCUAACAGGACAGCACCUUGAUUAAUUCACUGCAGUUUGGGUUUAUAGGUUUAGAGAGGGACAUAUUUAAAAUGGUUUUCUUUACUUCAUGUAUAAGGAAAUCUGUAUUGCACAUAGACAAUAAAUAUAAUGCUCAUUAAAAAAAAAAAACAAAAAACACAGAGGAACAAAGAUAAAAAAUUA